ACCAAGAGCAGAAUUCUAAAGAACUCCAACUAUUAAGAGUCAGGAUGUGAACAAGAACCAGGGAAGGAUGCUGAUAAGCAGAGAGGUGGAAGGAGAACCAGGAGAGAGAAGUGAUGCCCUGCUCCCCAACAGUGUCAAGUGGUAUGGGGUCAAUAGAGCCAAAAGAUGGGUAACAGAACGAGAAAUAAGAUAGCUCCUGGGCUUCGGUAAUAAGAGGGCCACUGGUGUCCUUGCUAGACAUGAAUUCACCAGGCUUCAGGGACAGAAGACAGGCAGCAGUGGGUUGAGGAGAGAAUGGAAACCAGGACAAUGAGUGUAAAUACUCAAGCCAAUGUGACAGGACACAAUCUUUUUACAAAAAACAAAAACAGAACAUAAGAAUUGUUUGCAGCUGGACACGGUGGCUACCGCCUGUCAUCCCAGCACUUUACAAGGCUGAAGUGGGAGGAUUAUUUGAGCUCAGGAGUUCAAGACCAACCUGGGAAACACAGUGAGACCCUGUCUCAACAACAACAAAAAAAGUAUUUUAUUUUAUUUAUUUAAUUUAUUUUUGAGACAGAGUUUUGCUCGGUCACCCAGGCUAGCGUGCAGUGGCACAAUCUCGGCUUACUGCAACAUCCGCCUCCUGGGUUCAAGCGAUUCUCCUGCCCAGCUUCUCAAGUAGCUGGGAUUACAGGCAUGCGCCACCACACCUGCCUAAUUUUUGUAUUUUUUGUUUGUUUGUUUUAAGUAGAGAUGGGGUUUCACCAUGUUGGCCAGGGUGGUCUAGAACUCCUGACCUCAAGUGAUCACCCACCUCCACCUCCCAAAGGGCUGGGAUUACAGGCAUGAGCCACCGCACCCGGCCUCAACAAAAAAUUU
rnacentral:lncRNA from 1 species